rnacentral:rRNA from 1 species
AUUGAACGCUGGCGGCAUGCCUUACACAUGCAAGUCGAACGGUAACGGGCCUUCGGGUGCCGACGAGUGGCGAACGGGUGAGUAAUGCAUCGGAACGUACCUUUCAGUGGGGGAUAACGUAGCGAAAGUUACGCUAAUACCGCAUAUUCUGUGAGCAGGAAAGCAGGGGAUCGCAAGACCUUGCGCUGAUUGAGCGGCCGAUGUCAGAUUAGCUAGUUGGUGGGGUAAAGGCCUACCAAGGCGACGAUCUGUAGCGGGUCUGAGAGGGUGAUCCGCCACACUGGGACUGAGACACGGCCCAGACUCCUACGGGAGGCAGCAGUGGAGAAUAUUGGACAAUGGGCGCAGGCCUGAUCCAGCCAUGCCGCGUGUGUGAAGAAGGCCUUUUGGUUGUAAAGCACUUUAAGCGAGGAGGAGGCUACUUGGAUUAAUACUCUAGGAUAGUGGACGUUACUCGCAGAAUAAGCACCGGCUAACUCUGUGCCAGCCGCCGCGGUAAAAC